rnacentral:rRNA from 1 species
GGAUAAGCCUGGGAAACUGGGUCUAAUACCGGAUAGGAGCCAUUUUUAGUGUGAUGGUUGGAAAGUUUUUUCGGUGUAGGAUGAGCUCGCGGCCUAUCAGCUUGUUGGUGGGGUAAUGGCCUACCAAGGCGUCGACGGGUAGCCGGCCUGAGAGGGUGUACGGCCACAUUGGGACUGAGAUACGGCCCAG